rnacentral:rRNA from 1 species
AGAACGAACGCUGGCGGCAUGCCUAAUACAUGCAAGUCGAACGAACACUUCGGUGUUAGUGGCGCACGGGUGCGUAACGCGUGGGAAUCUGCCCUUGGGUUCGGAAUAACAGUUGGAAACGACUGCUAAUACCGGAUGAUAUCGGAAGAUCAAAGAUUUAUCGCCCAGGGAUGAGCCCGCGUAGGAUUAGCUAGUUGGUGA